CUCCAAAUCUCCUAUCACUUUGGAGUGUCCAAGGUGCUUAUAGAAAAAGGAAGAGGUCAGCUGUCGAAGUUGUUCGCAGACUAGCAUCUCUAAGCUCCUGAUCUGUGCCAGUCUUCGCAUGAAUUUUUCCAUAGAGGCUAGAUAACUUCGUGUGGCUGUAAGUGACCUAAGAAAUAUCCUCUCCAAUCAUUGGAUCAGAGGAGAUCAAGAUCAAAAUUUAUUUGAUAACGAUCUCUAACUUAUUUUGAUUCCUAUGGUAGAUCUAAUAGUUGAUCUAGAAUUUUAACAUCGAUGAGAUCAAUGUGAUUUUUAUUUUUAGAUCUAAAGUAUAUAUUUUUUAUAUCAAAGAUUUUGAUAUGAUAAUUUAAGAUUAGAUCUUAUACAUGUGAUUAGGAUUAAAUU
rnacentral:lncRNA from 1 species